rnacentral:misc_RNA from 1 species
CCAGGACUCACUCCAUUGGGUGUCCGAUUUCUAGCUGCCAGUAUUCAUCUCUGCCGUUCCAGGUCACAAAGUGUUCAUCCACCCGCUGAACUCGCUUCUCCCCAGACCCCGGAAAUGCGGGUCAUGGGGUCGAGAACCCUCGUCCUGCUGCUGCCGGGUGCGCUGGUCCUGACCGAGACCUGGGCGGGCUCCCACUCCCUGAGGUAUUUCUACACCGCCGUGUCCCGACCCGGCCUCGAGGAGCCCCGCUUUAUCAUCGUCGGCUACGUGGACGACAUGCAGUUCGUGCGGUUCGACAGCGACGCCCCGGAUCCGAGGAUGGAGCCGCGGGCACGGUGGGUGGAGCAGGAGCGGCCGGAGUAUUGGGAUCAGGCGACGCAGAGAACUAAGGACACCAAACAGACUUUCCGAGCGAACCUGAACAACCUGCGCGGCUACUACAACCAGAGCGAGGCCGGGUCUCACACCCUCCAGGAGAUGUACGGCUGCGACGUGGGGUCGGACGGGGGUUUCCUGCGCGGUAUGAUCAGUUCGCCUACGAUGGCAGAGAUUACAUCGCUCUGAACGAGGACCUGCGCUCCUGGACCGCGGCGGACCCGGCGGCUCAGGUCUCCAAACGCAAGAUUGAGCAGAGUGGUGCUGCGAAGGGCGAGAGGAACUACCUGAACCGCGAGUGCGUGGAGGGGCUCCGCAGAUACCUAGAGACCGGAAAGGACACGCUGCUGCGCACAGACCCUCCAAAGACACAUGUGACCUGUCACCCCAUCUCUGGCCGUGAGGUCACCCUGAGGUGCUGGGCCCUGGGCUUCUACCCUGAGGAGAUCUUACUGACCUGGCAGCGUGACGGGGAGGACCAGACCCAGGACAUGGAGCUUGUGGAGACCAGGCCUUCAGGGGAUGGAACCUUCCAGAAGUGGGCGGCCCUGGUGGUGCCUUCUGGAGAGGAGCAGAGACACACAUGCCGUGUGCAGCAUGAGGGACUUCAGGAGCCCCGCACCCUGAGAUGGGAACCUCCUGAGACCUCCUUCCUCACCAUGGGCAUCAUUGUUGGCCUGGUUCUCCUUGUGGUAGCUGUGGUGGCUGUGGUGACUGGAGCUGUGAUUUGGAGGAAGAAGCGCUCAGGUGAAAGAGGGCACUACACUCAGGCUGAAAGCAGUGAACUUCCAUCAUACCAGAGCUCUGAUGUGUGUGACCAGAGCUCUCAUGGAUCCUAGAGUGUGAAACAGCUACCUCGUGGGGACUGAGUGAUGCAAGACUCCAUAUCCCACCCCUGCAUUAUGACUUGAAGAUCUGACUUCUCUUUCUGCAGAAGUCAUCUGAAUGUGUCUGUGCUGCUAUUAGCAUAAUGUAAAGAAGUGGUGAGCCUGGCCCUCCUCUGUCCACCACGACCCCUCCACACCCUGGACUGUUUUCUCUGAUGGUCCUUCCUGAUCCAACAGAGACCAGGCUGGGCUGUCUCCCUCUUUGUCUUAACUUCUUUUCCUUUUUCAUAUCUUACUGAAAAUCAGGAUCCAAACUACAGAUUUCCCCCAUAGGUCCUCAUCAAUCUAGUCCCCAAGUGUUUGCCUGUGUGGGUCUGUUUUGUAAAACUUAACAAAUGUUUGUACAGUUUUAGUAUGUCUAAAUGUCUUUAGUAAUAUUAAAUUAAAUUUAGUAAAAGCAAACAAA